rnacentral:rRNA from 1 species
UACGUAGGGUGCGAGCGUUUGUCCGGAAUUAUUGGGCGUAAAGAGCUCGUAGGCGGCGUGUCGCGUCGGUUGUGAAAGCCCGGGGCUUAACUCCGGGUCUGCAGUCGAUACGGGCAUGCUUGAGUUCGGUAGGGGAGAUCGGAAUUCCUGGUGUAGCGGUGAAAUGCGCAGAUAUCAGGAGGAACACCGGUGGCGAAGGCGGAUCUCUGGGCCGAUACUGACGUGAGGAGCGAAAGCGUGGGGAGCGAACAGGAUAGAUA